AGAUCGAACUAUAGAGUUUGAUCCUGGCUCAGAUUGAACGCUGGCGGCAUGCCUUACACAUGCAAGUCGAACGGUAACAGGUUAAGCUGACGAGUGGCGAACGGGUGAGUAAUAUAUCGGAACGUGCCCAGUCGUGGGGGAUAACGUAGCGAAAGCUACGCUAAUACCGCAUACGAUCUAU
rnacentral:rRNA from 1 species